GUGCUCACUUUGGCAGCACAUAUACUAAAGUUGGAAUGAUGCAGAGAAGAUUAGCAUGGCCCCUACACAAGGAUGGCAUGCAAAUUCAUGAGGCAUUCCAUAUUUUA
rnacentral:snRNA from 1 species